GCCCGCUUGGCUCAGUGGUAGAGCGUGGCACUAGUAAUGCCAAGGUCGUCAGUUCGAUUCUGGCAGUGGGCA
rnacentral:tRNA from 1 species